rnacentral:lncRNA from 1 species
GUACUUGGCGAUCAGCUGCUCAAUGUGUGUCAGUGUUUUAUACCGGCAACCUACCAAGGGGUAUCUCGAAGUAAGAUUGGUCGGUGGGGGAUCGUCGGACCUGGGACUUGAUGGUAAAAGCAAGGACACAAGACACAUAUUUAUACAGGCUUGAGUCGCCAGACUAGCGUAAUACCCUACAUCCUAUUUGGGGUGUUGUAUAUUGCACCCUACGCUUGGGUGUUGUUUUUCCUUGGUUUAGGCUUGAGGAUUUGGUCCUCUGUUGUGGUUCUAUGAGGUAUUUGCCUACCGAUCUAGGGACCCCUACCCUCUUUUAUAUACUUAGGAGGCGGGAUUACUAGUCGGUUACAAGGUAGGAGUCCUAGUAGGAUUACAUUGUAUGAGUUCUAGUAGGAUUAUAGAGGAAUCGUAGUAGGAGUCCGUCUUCUUCAUUCCUUGCGAGUACUAGGGAUCUAUCCCUGACAAGCCCCCGAGCGCUUCAUAGUUGAAUGAAGCAGCCUUGAGUACUUUUUAGAUCCUCGCCGAGUAAUU